CUCACCCCUCCUCCGCCUUUGUCUCUGUGUUUCUCCUCCACUCCCCACGAUUCCCCCAACCAACCCCAUCGCCGCCGCCGCCGCCGACCUCCUCUCCCCCAACCCCACCGCCGGCGCCCCCCACCUCACCAGCAGCCACUGCCAUGGACAGAGCCGCUGCCUCUCUCGGCGCCCGAAGCCCUAGCUCAGGCCGCCGCGACCCACCCGUUGCGUCCCACGUUCACGCGCGAGAUCUGUCCCAUAGCGAUGCUCGAUCCAGGCAGGCCCGAGGAAGGAGAGCAGUCGGCUCCCUUCCUCCUCUCCGGUGAGCCUGAGCGAGCACCCACUCCCCCCAUGACCACAAAUCCACCCCCGGUUCCUCCAUCCUCCCUCCAGUCUCCGACGCUGUCACCGCCCAGCCACGGAGUACCACCGCAACACCUGGUAUGGCGCACCACGUCCACCCAUCGCCGGUGACCUCCCACAGCUCCGACCCUAGCUGCCUCCUAGCACACUGCAGCUUCACCAGCCUCCCCCUCCCCACCUCCUCUGCACCGCCGCUGGACCAGCGUGCCGCGUUGCCCUCAGAUCCGGCUUCCAGGAGCUGCCACGGUCGUUCAGCAAGUAGCAGUGCGUGCAUCAUUGGCGGUGCGUGCAGUCCGCAUCCCCUUCGCAUGCCUGCACUACGGUUCCCUGGUGUAGUUCAAUUUCAUUGUGAGAAUCCAUGGCGCUGGCCGCGCCGCACCUUUUCCUGCUUCUUCUCGUCUGAGGCGAGCACCAGCGAUUAACAUAUUCAAGUCAAGAUGGUUAGGUUUGGGAAAAAGUUGACGGCCGGCCAAGUUCCAAAGUGGAGAGGUUACUAUAUAAACUACAAGCUGAUGAAGAAGAAAGUAAAACAAUAUGGGCAGCAACUCCAACAGGGAGAGAAAGACCAUCACCGUGUUCUCAAGGAUUUCUCAAAGAUGCUUGAUGAUCAGGUAAUGCUAAGAGAUGGAUCUCUGCCAAUUCAUUACUUCAUUCUCCCUGAUCUGAGUUUAACCUGCAGACUUUAGCUUUUGUCUGGUGUGGACAGUGCAGUGACAGAGGUUGCAGCCUUGUGGGGUCUAAUACAUGUUUCUUACUGCAGCUUUAAGCUUCGCUGUCAUCUAACUCUUUCUAGUUAAUUUUUGUUAUCUGUCUUUGAACCUAUAAAAAUGCUAACUCUUUCUAGUUAAUUUUUGUUAUCUGUCUUUGAACCUAUAAAAAUGGGUGAUCUGUACACUUGUCAUCUCCUACAUUUGUUUCCUGAACAUGUCUAAAGCUUUUAUAAGAAAUGCAGUUUUGAGCUCAGGCAAUCGUAGGAUGACUAGACACAUACUACAUAUGAUUUGAGAUGUAUAUGUAUGCUAAUUGAUGUUUUGAGGGGUGCUCAUAUACUUGCUCGGCAACAUGGAAACUUUCACAUUUGGUCUAGUUGUCUCUAUGGGUCAGCGACUUAGCAUACAUGUUGUAAUCAACUUUCACAUUUGCUUCUCUGAC